rnacentral:rRNA from 1 species
CACGUAGGCACCAAGCGUUUGUCCGGAUUUAUUGGGCGUAAAGAGCUCGUAGGCGGUUUGUCGCGUCUGCUGUGAAAACCCGAGGCUCAACCUCGGGCCUGCAGUGGGUACGGGCAGACUAGAGUGCGGUAGGGGAGAUUGGAAUUCCUGGUGUAGCGGUGGAAUGCGCAGAUAUCAGGAGGAACACCAAUGGCGAAGGCAGAUCUCUGGGCCGUAACUGACGCUGAGGAGCGAAAGCAUGGGGAGCGAACAGG